CCUGCUUUCCAUGUUGUCAACACAAUCCCCUGCUGUAUGAACCUGCUUUCCAUGUUGUCUACACAAUCCCCAGCUGUGUGGACCUCCUUUCAAUGUUAUCAACACAAUCCCUAGCUGUGUGGACCUGCUUUCCAUGUUGUCAACACAAUCCCCAGCUGUGUGGACCUGCUUUCCAUGUUGUCAACACAAUCCCCAGCUGUAUGGACCUGCUUUCCAUGUUGUCUACACAAUCCCCAGCUGUGUGGACCUGCUUUCCAUGUUGUCAACACAACCCCCAGCUGUGUGGACCUGCUUUCCAUGUUGUCAACACAAUCCCCAGCUGUAUGGACCUGCUUUCCAUGUUGUCAACACAAUCCCCAGCUGUAUGGACCUGCUUUCCAUGUUGUCCCCAAAACAUCGUUGGUACUUUUUCUGUCAUUUUGUUUGGUUGCUUUUAGCGUUGUUGCUUUCUGUCUGUCUGUGUUACUGGUUAUAUGUUGCUCUGUCUGUCUGUGUUACUGGUUAUAUGUUGCUCUGUCUGUCUGUGUGUUACUGGUUAUGUUGCUCUGUCUGUCUGUGUUACUGGUUAUAUGUUGCUCUGUCUGUCUGUGUGUUACUGGUUAUGUUGCUCUGUCUGUCUGUGUUACUGGUUAUAUGUUGCUCUGUCUGUCUGUGUUACUGGUUAUGUUGCUCUGUCUGUCUGUGUUACUGGUUAUAUGUUGCUCUGUCUGUCUGUGUUACUGGUUAUAUGUUGCUCUGUCUGUCUGUGUGAUACUGGUUAUAUGUUGCUCUGUCUGUCUGUGUUACUGGUGAUAUGUUGCUCUGUCUGUCUGUGUUACUGGUUAUAUGUUGCUCUGUCUGUCUGUGUUACUGGUUAUAUGUUGCUCUGUCUGUCUGUGUGUUACUGGUUAUAUGUUGCUCUGUCUGUCUGUGUGAUACUGGUUAUAUGUUGCAUUGUCUGUCUGUGUGAUACUGGUUAUAUGUUGCAUUGUCUGUCUGUGUUACUGGUUAUAUGUUGCUCUGUCUGUCUGUGUGAUACUGGUUAUAUGUUGCUCUGUCUGUCUGUGUGAUACUGGUUAUAUGUUGCUCUGUCUGUCUGUCUGUGUUACUGGUUAUAUGUUGCUCUGUCUGUCUGUGUUACUGGUUAUAUGUUGCUCUGUCUGUCUGUGUUACUGGUUAUAUGUUGCUCUGUCUGUCUGUGUGAUACUGGUUAUAUGUUGCUCUGUCUGUCUGUCUGUGUUACUGGUUAUAUGUUGCUCUGUCUGUCUGUGUGAUACUGGUUAUAUGUUGCUCUGUCUGUCUGUGUGUUACUGGUUAUAUGUUGCUCUGUCUGUCUGUGUUACUGGUUAUAUGUUGCUCUGUCUGUCUGUCCUUUACAGAAAUGUUGAUAAAUGUGCACUGUACCUUUAAAAAAAUAAACUUAAUUAAAGUAAUAAUAAUAAUGUCUGGAUAAUGUAUAGAAUAUCAAGGUUCAGAGUUUAUAACUGGAUAAUGUAUAGAAUAUCAAGGUUCAGAGUUUAUAACUGGAUAAUGUAUGGAAUAUCAAGGUUGAGUUUAUAACAGGAUAAUGUAUAGAAUAUCAAGGUCCAGAGUGUAUAACUGGGUAAUGUAUAGAAUAAAGGUUGAGUUUAUAACUGGAUAAUGUAUAUAAUAUCAAGGUUGAGUUUAUAACUGGAUAAUGUAUAGAAUAAAGGUUGAGUUUAUAACUGGGUAAUGUAUAGAAUAUCAAGGUUCAGAGUUUAUAACUGGGUAAUGUAUAGAAUAUCAAGGAUGCGUUUAUAACUGGGUAAUGUAUAGAAUAUCAAGGUUGAGUUUAUAACUGGAUAAUGUAUAGAAUAUCAAGGUUCAGAGUUUAUAACUGGAUAAUGCACAUGUUGAGGUCCAGUGUGAGGAUAACAUAGCAUCAUAUAGAGGACCAGUGUGUGUAUGACUGGAUAAUGUAGCUUCAUAUAGAGGACCAGUGUGUGUAUGACUGGAUAAUGUAGCUUCAUAUAGAGGACCAGUGUGUGUAUGACUGGAUAACAUAGCAUCAUAUAGAGGACCAGUGUGUGUAUGACUGGAUAAUGUAGCUUCAUAUAGAGGACCAGUGUGUGCAUGACUGGAUAAUGUAGCUUCAUAUAGAGGACCAGUGUGUGUAUGACUGGAUAAUGUAGCUUCAUAUAGAGGACCAGUGUGUGUAUGACUGGAUAAUGUAGCUUCAUAUAGAGGACCCGUGUGUGUAUGACUGGAUAAUGUAGCUUCAUAUAGAGGACCAGUGUGUGUAUGACUGGAUAAUGUAGCUUCAUAUAGAGGACCAGUGUGUGCAUGACUGGAUAAUGUAGCUUCAUAUAGAGGACCAGUGUGUGUAUGACUGGAUAAUGUAGCUUCAUAUAGAGGACCAGUGUGUGUAUGACUGGAUAACAUAGCAUCAUAUAGAGGACCAGUGUGUGUAUGACUGGAUAAUGUAGCUUCAUAUAGAGGACCAGUGUGUGUAUGACUGGAUAAUGUAGCUUCAUAUAGAGGACCAGUGUGUUUAUGACUGGAUAAUGUAGCUUCAUAUAGAGGACCCGUGUGUGUAUGACUGGAUAAUGUAGCUUCAUAUAGAGGACCAGUGUGUUUAUGACUGGAUAAUGUAGCUUCAUAUAGAGGACCAGUGUGUGUAUGACUGGAUAAUGUAGCUUCAUAUAGAGGACCAGUGUGUGUAUGACUGGAUAAUGUAGCUUCAUAUAGAGGACCAGUGUGUGUAUGACUGGAUAAUGUAGCUUCAUAUAGAGGACCAGUGUGUUUAUGACUGGAUAAUGUAGCUUCAUAUAGAGGACCCGUGUGUGUAUGACUGGAUAAUGUAGCUUCAUAUAGAGGACCAGUGUGUGUAUGACUGGAUAAUGUAGCUUCAUAUAGAGGACCCGUGUGUGUAUGACUGGAUAAUGUAGCUUCAUAUAGAGGACCAGUGUGUGUAUG
rnacentral:lncRNA from 1 species